rnacentral:rRNA from 1 species
GGUUAAGCGACUAAGCGUACACGGUGGAUGCCCUGGCAGUCAGAGGCGAUGAAGGACGUGCUAAUCUGCGAUAAGCGUCGGUAAGGUGAUAUGAACCGUUAUAACCGGCGAUUUCCGAAUGGGGAAACCCAGUGUGAUUCGUCACACUAUCAUUAACUGAAUCCAUAGGUUAAUGAGGCGAACCGGGGGAACUGAAACAUCUAAGUACCCCGAGGAAAAGAAAUCAACCGAGAUUCCCCCAGUAGCGGCGAGCGAACGGGGAGCAGCCCAGAGCCUGAAUCAGUGUGUGUGUUAGUGGAAGCGUCUGGAAAGGCGCGCGAUACAGGGUGACAGCCCCGUACACAAAAAUGCACAUACUGUGAGCUCGAUGAGUAGGGCGGGACACGUGGUAUCCUGUCUGAAUAUGGGGGGACCAUCCUCCAAGGCUAAAUACUCCUGACUGACCGAUAGUGAACCAGUACCGUGAGGGAAAGGCGAAAAGAACCCCGGCGAGGGGAGUGAAAAAGAACCUGAAACCGUGUACGUACAAGCAGUGGGAGCACAGAGCAAUCUGUGUGACUGCGUACCUUUUGUAUAAUGGGUCAGCGACUUAUAUUCUGUAGCAAGGUUAACCGAAUAGGGGAGCCGAAGGGAAACCGAGUCUUAACUGGGCGUUAAGUUGCAGGGUAUAGACCCGAAACCCGGUGAUCUAGCCAUGGGCAGGUUGAAGGUUGGGUAACACUAACUGGAGGACCGAACCGACUAAUGUUGAAAAAUUAGCGGAUGACUUGUGGCUGGGGGUGAAAGGCCAAUCAAACCGGGAGAUAGCUGGUUCUCCCCGAAAGCUAUUUAGGUAGCGCCUCGUGAAUUCAUCUCCGGGGGUAGAGCACUGUUUCGGCAAGGGGGUCAUCCCGACUUACCAACCCGAUGCAAACUGCGAAUACCGGAGAAUGUUAUCACGGGAGACACACGGCGGGUGCUAACGUCCGUCGUGAAGAGGGAAACAACCCAGACCGCCAGCUAAGGUCCCAAAGUCAUGGUUAAGUGGGAAACGAUGUGGGAAGGCCCAGACAGCCAGGAUGUUGGCUUAGAAGCAGCCAUCAUUUAAAGAAAGCGUAAUAGCUCACUGGUCGAGUCGGCCUGCGCGGAAGAUGUAACGGGGCUAAACCAUGCACCGAAGCUGCGGCAGCGACGCUGAUGCGUUGUUGGGUAGGGGAGCGUUCUGUAAGCCUGUGAAGGUGUGCUGUGAGGCAUGCUGGAGGUAUCAGAAGUGCGAAUGCUGACAUAAGUAACGAUAAAGCGGGUGAAAAGCCCGCUCGCCGGAAGACCAAGGGUUCCUGUCCAACGUUAAUCGGGGCAGGGUGAGUCGACCCCUAAGGCGAGGCCGAAAGGCGUAGUCGAUGGGAAACAGGUUAAUAUUCCUGUACUUGGUGUUACUGCGAAGGGGGGACGGAGAAGGCUAUGUUGGCCGGGCGACGGUUGUCCCGGUUUAAGCGUGUAGGCUGGUUUUCCAGGCAAAUCCGGAAAAUCAAGGCUGAGGCGUGAUGACGAGGCACUACGGUGCUGAAGCAACAAAUGCCCUGCUUCCAGGAAAAGCCUCUAAGCAUCAGGUAACAUCAAAUCGUACCCCAAACCGACACAGGUGGUCAGGUAGAGAAUACCAAGGCGCUUGAGAGAACUCGGGUGAAGGAACUAGGCAAAAUGGUGCCGUAACUUCGGGAGAAGGCACGCUGAUAUGUAGGUGAAGUCCCUCGCGGAUGGAGCUGAAAUCAGUCGAAGAUACCAGCUGGCUGCAACUGUUUAUUAAAAACACAGCACUGUGCAAACACGAAAGUGGACGUAUACGGUGUGACGCCUGCCCGGUGCCGGAAGGUUAAUUGAUGGGGUCAGCGCAAGCGAAGCUCUUGAUCGAAGCCCCGGUAAACGGCGGCCGUAACUAUAACGGUCCUAAGGUAGCGAAAUUCCUUGUCGGGUAAGUUCCGACCUGCACGAAUGGCGUAAUGAUGGCCAGGCUGUCUCCACCCGAGACUCAGUGAAAUUGAACUCGCUGUGAAGAUGCAGUGUACCCGCGGCAAGACGGAAAGACCCCGUGAACCUUUACUAUAGCUUGACACUGAACAUUGAGCCUUGAUGUGUAGGAUAGGUGGGAGGCUUUGAAGUGUGGACGCCAGUCUGCAUGGAGCCGACCUUGAAAUACCACCCUUUAAUGUUUGAUGUUCUAACGUUGACCCGUAAUCCGGGUUGCGGACAGUGUCUGGUGGGUAGUUUGACUGGGGCGGUCUCCUCCUAAAGAGUAACGGAGGAGCACGAAGGUUGGCUAAUCCUGGUCGGACAUCAGGAGGUUAGUGCAAUGGCAUAAGCCAGCUUGACUGCGAGCGUGACGGCGCGAGCAGGUGCGAAAGCAGGUCAUAGUGAUCCGGUGGUUCUGAAUGGAAGGGCCAUCGCUCAACGGAUAAAAGGUACUCCGGGGAUAACAGGCUGAUACCGCCCAAGAGUUCAUAUCGACGGCGGUGUUUGGCACCUCGAUGUCGGCUCAUCACAUCCUGGGGCUGAAGUAGGUCCCAAGGGUAUGGCUGUUCGCCAUUUAAAGUGGUACGCGAGCUGGGUUUAGAACGUCGUGAGACAGUUCGGUCCCUAUCUGCCGUGGGCGCUGGAGAACUGAGGGGGGCUGCUCCUAGUACGAGAGGACCGGAGUGGACGCAUCACUGGUGUUCGGGUUGUCAUGCCAAUGGCACUGCCCGGUAGCUAAAUGCGGAAGAGAUAAGUGCUGAAAGCAUCUAAGCACGAAACUUGCCCCGAGAUGAGUUCUCCCUGACCCUUUAAGGGUCCUGAAGGAACGUUGAAGACGACGACGUUGAUAGGCCGGGUGUGUAAGCGCAGCGAUGCGUUGAGCUAACCGGUACUAAUGAACCGUGAGGCUUAACCUU